UCAGGCAUUGGAGGCACGCAAUCAGUUACUGCCUGUUCCUAUUUGUCUGGAGAAUGCGAUGACAAGCCAGCAACUAAAACCAUUGCUGUGCAUCUGGUAAAAAUACUUCUAGAGUGUGGUUAAGUAUGGAGUUCCAGGAUUUGCAUCCAGCAAAGCUGAAGGGCACGAUUCUUCAUGCUGAGACUGCUGCUAGUGUUCUUAUGUGUCUGCUGCCAAAAUCCUUUUAAGUGGUCGGGGUAAUAGAUUUGGGAGCUUCUGUCAAAGAAGCUUUGGAUGUUGGUGUGGUUGGUUAUUUCAAGUCAUGAUUGCCCCACAAUGAGCAUAAGAAUGACCUUCAAUUCUUUUGAUGAAUCAGCUUGGCUCCAUGAGCAUGUCACUUACCAGAAGUCUGGCCUUGAGGACAGCUAGAACUUUACUUGGCAGAGAUGUGAUUAUAUUCUCCAGGAAGAUAUCCUAAACCUGUAAAUACAUCAUUGUGCUCCUCUAGAACCUGUUUCAUAAAUGGUUUGUGUUCUGCAACAUGUUACAAAUUUAUUCUGGUACUUGAGGGAUAUCAGUUUUAGACUUGCUAACGUUAAGGUGAGUGGCUCUUAUUUGCCAUCUAUGAUUUGGAACUCCAGGCCUUCAUUCUUGUCAUAGCCAAAUGCAAUCUGUGAAAUCUGUAUCUGAGUAUAAUGUCAUCAUGUAGCCUCAGACUUAUUUUUGCAGGCUUCAUUUUUGGAUCACUAUGUUGAACUAUAACACAGAGCUAAUGAUAUUGUAUGAUACUUUAUGGUGACUUCAUGAUUUCUUUCUGCAGUCAUCAUUCCAACAGUCACAAACCAUUUAUCCCUUCUUGACCUGUUUGAUGCAACCUGCUAUAGAGUAAAAUAUCAGUACCUGUUGCUGAUAUCUCCCUAGUGACAAUCUGUACCUACAUGUCGUGCUUCUGUCUAGCCAAACACUUUUGUACAAAAUUAUUCAACAUUUGCAGUGAGUACAUGCUUUUCUGACAUCGGACAUGCCUUCUUUUCUGUGUAAUGUUCUCUGCAGUAUUUGCUUCCUGUCCUUUGUCAAUGAUCAUUCUGCCUUUUUGCCCUGGAAUGUCUGUCAGGAUAACGUAUGGUCUGGUCUGUUCAUAGAUCAUGGAAUCCCGACAGUGUGGAAGCAGGCCAUUCAAUCCAUAGAGUCCACACCGACCCUCCAAACAGCAUUCCACUCAAAACCUUAAUAUUAGGACUGAUGAAAGGAUAGUGGUCUGUAAGCCUUCUUAACUACCCUAUUAACCUGUCCUGUCACCUUCAGAGAUCUGUGGACAAGCAUCCCAAGAUCCCACCGUUCCUUUGCUGGAAGCAAAUUGCCAGUCAAAAAUCGUAGUUAAACAAGAAACCAGACAACUCCUUACAGCUCCAGUUCUGAAGAAGUCAUACCAGACUUGAAAUGUUAACACUAUUUCUUUCUCCACAUAUGCUGUCAAUUUCUCCAGCAUUGUGUUUGUUUCAGAUUUCCAGCAUCUACAGUAUUUUGCUUUUAUAAUGUCUUACAGCUAAGUUGCAUAUCUGCAUAAUCACCAAACCUAACUGCCAGAGAUGGUUGGGGGAAGGGGACAGUUUGGAUUUUUGAUUAAAGUACGGGAGGCAGUUCCUGCUCCUCACCCAAAAUAAAACAGCCCUCACCAGGACCCGAUCAUAACAUGUCUAAAGAUGUCUUUACUGAACUGCUGUAAAAUGGAUGACUUCACUCAGUGUCUCAUGGUAAAGUUCACAUGACUAUAGCAAGCCAGGAGGCACAUUUGUACUAAUGCAUUUCUAACUCAAACGUUAAUGUGAAGACUCCCACAGCAACUUGCUCCUCAUUGUCUAUCACUUUAGUCCCAUUUCUGGUGGGUCUGGCCUGUCAGUUGGCAAAACAUAUCCAGGAAUGGCAAAUUGAAGGGUCUGUCCAUUGGCUAGAAAGUAUUAUUCAGCGUGUAUAACUCUGUCAGGCUGCUGCUUGAUUAGCCUGUUAGACAACUCCUCCAAUUUUGCUCCAAUUCCCUCAAUAUUAGUAAGGAGGACUUUGUAAAUUAUAAUUAGAUUGGGUGUGCCUUUGUUGUUUCCAGUGACUAGGCUAAUGCUGAGUGGUCCUUCAGUAACUUCAGUUUUAUUCUUAUUUAACGUCUCUGUAUUGCUUUAGUACAAUGAAGUGGCUCGCAAAGCAAUUUCAAAGGGCAGAUCAAAUUCAAACACAUUGCUGUGUGUCCGGAGUCACAUGUCGGCCAGUCUGGUCAGGAUACAGAUUUGCUUUCCUAAAGGGAAUUAGUGAACAAGGAAAUAGGGUGGAUAAUUGGGAUUCAUAUGACUUACUGGUGUACAGGGUAACUAUUGACACAAACCACUUGUUUUUUGUGUUGUAACCUUGUCUUUUUAUGUGUCAAUGCUACUUGGAUGUCAGAAAGAGAGUUCUAAUUUGUCAGUAACUUAAUUAUUUAAACAGAACAUAACUUAAGAAUAACAAUAGAUUCAGAUGAUCUCCACUCCUAAUAUUAAAUUAUAACAAAUAAAUACUCAACAGGUCAGGCAGCAACUGCAGAAUGAAAAAUAGAAUUCAUGUGCAAGGAUGAGAACAUUCCAUCAGAACUACAAAUAAAAGGUCAUCAACACGAAAUGUUGACUUAGAAUUAGAAUUAGGUUUUAUUGUCACGUAUACUCAAGUAUAGGAAUACAUGAGUACAGUGAAAGUACAAAGGUGCCAUCUUGGUUACAAAACCAGAAUUUAAAAAACAGAAAAAAAUUUAAGAGCAAAAAAUUAAGAAAACACCCAGAUCUUAACGUCGAAGGUUUUACUUCCAUAAAGGUGUUUGGAAUGCUCAGCCACCGAUGCUGGAGUGUUGCCUGACCUGCUCAGUAGUUUCUGCUUUUACUUCAGAUUUCCAGCAUCUGCAAUAUACUGCUUUUAAAUUUGAAUACAUUGAAACGUUUAACAUAAUUCUUUUUGACCACUCAUCACAAGAAUUUUUAAAAUUUAUUUCAACCAUAUAUUUUAUUUGAAAGUAACAACAAAAGCAGGAAGAAAUGCAAGAUCCUACCUCAUAACUGAAAUAAAAAUAGCCUGCCUUGUCUGCAUAAUGCCAGAAACAUUCCUGCCCACCUCCUGAGAGAACGAUGGAAAAGUCAUAUUGAUCAGCACCACGAAAAGUACCAGAUUCAUUAGAACCAUCUAUUGGCUUGGUAUUUUGAGAUGUUCCAUUUACAAACAGGGCAACACACACGUACAUAACUAUAACACCUUGUGCAGACAUUUUACUGUAGUGAUGUAUGGAGAAUUCCCACAAGCAGAAAACUUACAACUUAGGAAAUUAUUAACUUUUUAUCUCAUCUUUGUGGCAUAUUAAUCCUACUCAAUGUCUUUUGCACCUGUGAAAUAUACAUUUUAAACAAUCAUCCAAAAAGAUCCUAUUGCUGAACUGAAAAUUACGCAAUCUACACAGAAGCAUGACUUACAUCUUCAUAUUACUCUAUGAGCUGAUUGAAGAAAAAGAUUAUUUUUAGCAUCCUCUAGGCUUGAAAAGAGCCUUAUAAUCUUAUAAGUAGUGCUCAACGGUUACAUUAACAAUGACAAAUGUAAAGCAAAUUCUUCUGAUCACAAUGCCUUAUAAGCAGAUUGCAAAUUGCAAUGAUAUUUAAUUUGUACUUGAAUUUACAAUAAAGCUAGUAUCAAUAUAUUUGGGGGGGGUGGUGUGGGAAAGAAAGGUUGAGCUUUACAAUAUAACCUUAUGGACUUGAAUCUCUACAGUAUGGAAACAGGCCCUUUGGCCCAAGAAGUCCACACUACCUCUCUGUAGAGCAUCCCACCCAGACCCACUUCCCUACCCCUGAUUUCCCCAUGUCUAACCCACCUGACCUAAACAUCCCUGGGCACUAUGGGCAACUUAGCAUGGCCAAUCCACCUAGCCUGCACAUCUUUGGACUGUGGGAGGAAACUGGAGCAUCUGGAGGAAACCCACACUGACAUGGGGAGAAUGUGCAAACUCCACACAGACAGUCACCUGAGGCUGGAAUUGAACCUGGGUCCCUGGUGCUGUGAGACAGCAGUGUUAACCACCAAGCCAUCGUGCUGCCCCUUUCUGCACAUAUUCCUGAGAAGUAAUUUAAAAUGCAAAUUUUAGCUGCUAAUUUGUCACCCCUCACCAUAUUAAAAGAAGAGCCAUAAAAACCAUAAUAGCUCCAAAACGUGCCAGCCUCAUGAUGUGACUUCAAACAACGUCAUUUAGAAGAAUAGUCAUAGUUUGAUACAAUAUCAAACGUUCCCUGAACUGCAUAUCAAUUACAUUAGCUUCAACCCAUUGUGGAGAUGAUAAAAUACAUGAUACUGUCAUCCUAUGACUGAAAUGGCUGGAGAAAGAGUUCACAUCUUAAUCAACCAGGACAGCCGAGCAGGUCAGUGUGGGAUCUAUAGGCAAGAAGGAAGCCAUCUCUCACUCAACACCAGGGAGGACACUUUCUUAAAAGUCACCCUAGGCAAAGUAGAGAGACUUAUUUGUUUUACCUACAAGAUUUUAUUUCUUCACUAUAUGAGCUCAGAUACAACUUCAUUUAAAUAACCAUUGUCUCUAGUGAUCCAAGAAAAAUAACCUUCAAAUGUACAACAUUCUAACCACCACCCCAGGGGCUACGUAAUCAAGUGACUUAUUUCUUUUUGAGGUAGUAGGAACUGCAGAUGCUGGAGAGUCUGAGACAACAAGGUGCAGAGCUGGAUGAACACAGCAGGCCAAGCAGCAUCAUAGGAACAGAAAGGCUGACGUUUCGGGCCUAGACCGUUCAUCAGAAAUUUAUUUCUUUUUCUUCUGUUAUCACUGUAAAUGCAUGCUACAUCUUAAGAAAUCAUCUAUUGUACGUGUUUGUAUAUCUGGUGUGUGUGAAGAAUGAGAUUGAGAAGUAAACAUUUAUCAUUUCCCUUG